AAGACUUGGCGGUGCCCUAUACCACCUAGAGGAGCCUGUUCURUAAUCGAUAAUCCCCGAUCAACCUCACCACCCCUUGCCAAUACCGCCUGUAUACCUCCGUCGUCAACUGACCCCUCAAGGGAAAUAGUUGGUUUAAUGGCUUAUCACCAGAAAGUCAGGUCAAGGUGCAGCGUAUGGGGUGGGAAGAAAUGGGCUACAUUCUCUACCUUUAGAUUACACGAAAGAUCACUAUGAAAUCUGAUUGGAAGGCGGAUUUAGCAGUAAAAAGAGAUUAGAGCGCUCUUUUUAAGUUGGCCCUAGGGCGCGCACACACCGCCCGUC
rnacentral:rRNA from 1 species